rnacentral:tRNA from 1 species
UUAGUUGAAGCCAAAAAGAGGCACACCACUGUUAAUGGUGAAAAUGAAAAUUUAUUUCCAACUAAA